UCUACAUCUCAUUCUCUCUACUGCUUUAGAAAACAUACACAGUGACUGAUCAUAUUCGGUUCAUAUAUACAUAUUUGUUCGUGAGUUUGAUUCGCUGCACCGAAGAGAACUUGAAGGUCGUUGUAUCUUGGGGAAAGAACGCCAUCCAACCCCGUGUAGAAGGGGAUGUAUCAUUCCUUAGGAGGGCGCCAUCACGUGCCUCAACCACCCCACAGGCUAUUCUUAUCUUUUCUCUAAUAAUAUCUAGUUGCCUUACUUGGUUGAUUAUUGUUCUUGUUUAGGCAUUUAAUUUCUAGCAAAAAUAUCCUAAUCAUAUAAUUUUCCCAACAAAUUAUUCACCAAAACCAUGAGAUUUCAAAUAUUGGUCACUACGUAGAGAAGGAACAUUGUUUCCUCGUUCUAAAUCAGAGAUAUGUACCUAUGGCAACAAAGCGUACCACCCAGAAAGCAUUCGAACUCGACAUAAGGACUAACUUCUAAACAACAAAAUGGCAUUGAAACACACCAAACUGGCAAAUAAGUUCACAUUCAAUAUUUUCUAUUUUCAGACAAAUUACUGGUCAUUUUCAAUAAUCAUAUGCCUUUUCUGCCACUUAAACUUCUUAAUUAGAUUUCCAAGUACCAAAAGCAAUCCAUAACCAUUUUGUCAUCAGUAAUGCUUUAGAAUGGACUAUCAUUUUUAGAAACACAAGUGGCCGAUCCUCAAAAAAAAAAGAAAAAAAGAAAAAAAAAGAAGAGAAAAUUG